UGGGGAAUAUUGCACAAUGGGCGAAAGCCUGAUGCAGCGACGCCGCGUGAGGGAUGACGGCCUUCGGGUUGUAAACCUCUUUCAGUAGGGACGAAGCGCAAGUGACGGUACCUGCAGAAGAAGCACCGGCUAACUACGUGCCAGCAGCCGCGGUAAUACGUAGGGUGCGAGCGUUGUCCGGAAUUACUGGGCGUAAAGAGCUCGUAGGCGGUUUGUCACGUCGUCUGUGAAAUCCUAGGGCUUAACCCUGGACGUGCAGGCGAUACGGGCUGACUUGAGUACUACAGGGGAGACUGGAAUUUCUGGUGUAGCGGUGGAAUGCACAGAUAUCAGGAAGAACACCGAUGGCGAAGGCAGGUCUCUGGGUAGUAACUGACGCUGAGGAGCGAAAGGAUGGGUAGCGAACAGG
rnacentral:rRNA from 1 species